rnacentral:lncRNA from 1 species
AGCUUGGCUCUGUCUCCAGGAAAGAGGCCUCAAGUUUCCUUCUGCAGCAGCGCAGCAUACGGGGUGCACAGUGAUCCACCCAAACGGCAGCUAUGCUGCCGGGGCUGGUGAGACGUGGUCAUUCACAAGGCAGCUCGCUGUGCUGCACAGCAGGUUGCUGCCCGGAGUCGCCAUGAAGGAAUGUGAUGCAGCCUAUUGGAGGAGAACCAAACCCCACCACCACCCCAGAAAGCCAUACCAGCUGCCGACAUGUACAUGGGCUCAUCGGGGGUUUUCCAGGCCCACUGAUGUUCCAGCUGAGCACAGCUGCCGGGGCCCUGCUGGGCUAGGUGACUCACGCCUGUAAUCCCAAC